GCCGGGGUAGCUCAGCUGGGAGAGCGCUCGGCUGAAGACCGAGAGGUCCCGGGUUCAAAUCCCGGCCCCGGCACCA
rnacentral:tRNA from 4 species